rnacentral:rRNA from 1 species
CAUAACCCUUUGUUGUCCGACUCUGUUGCCUCCGGGGCGACCCUGCCUUCGGGCGGGGGCUCCGGGUGGACACUUCAAACUCUUGCGUAACUUUGCAGUCUGAGUAAACUUAAUUAAUAAAUUAAAACUUUUAACAACGGAUCUCUUGGUUCUGGCAUCGAUGAAGAACGCAGCGAAAUGCGAUAAGUAAUGUGAAUUGCAGAAUUCAGUGAAUCAUCGAAUCUUUGAACGCACAUUGCGCCCCCUGGUAUUCCGGGGGGCAUGCCUGUUCGAGCGUCAUUUCACCACUCAAGCCUCGCUUGGUAUUGGGCAACGCGGUCCGCCGCGUGCCUCAAAUCGACCGGCUGGGUCUUCUGUCCCCUAAGCGUUGUGGAAACUAUUCGCUAAAGGGUGUUCGGGAGGCUACGCCGUAAAACAACCCCAUUUCUAAGGUUGACCUCGGAUCAGGUAGGGAUACCCGCUGAACUUAAGCAUAUCAAUAAGCGGAGG